ACAUGCUUACAACAUAGAGUUAAUGCACUGGAUCCGAUUAGAACUCCACAGUUAAGUGUGCUCGUGCUAGAGUAGUAUUGGGAUGGGUAACCUCCUGGGAAGUCCUAGUAUUUUACAUGCC
rnacentral:rRNA from 1 species